GGACGAGGUCCCGGUCUCAUCUGGUUCUGGUUCUGCUUGCACUGAGCUUGCAAAGUGUGGCCUCCAUUCUCAGCAUGCCGCUUCCCCCCCCCCACCGACAUCGUCUUCCAAUAAUUCCUAUUUUUCCUCCUUUACCGGUACGAUUAAAGGCAUGACUCUUUACUGGUACGGUUAAAGGCAUGACUCUUUACUGGUACGGUUAAAGAAAUGACUCUUUACUGGUACAUUUAAAGACAUGACUCUUUACUGGUACAGUCAAAGACGUGACUCUUUACUGGUACGGUUAAAGAAAUUACUCUUUACUGGUACAUUUAAAGACAUGACUCUUUACUGGUACAGUCAAAGACAUGACUCUUUACUGGUACGGUUAAAGACAUGGGUCUUUACUUCUACAGUUAAAGAACAAGAUCUUUAAUGGUACAUUGAAAGAACCGGCUCUUUCCUGAUACAGCUUAUAGCGUAAUUCUUUACCGGUACAGUUAAAGGUAUAGAUCUUCAAAGGUACGGUUAAAGGUCUGGCACUUUACUGGUACGGUUAAAGGCCCGGCACUUUUCUGGUACAGUGAAAGAACCGGUGCUUGACUGGUACAGUUAAAGGUUUGGCACUUUACUGGUACGGUUAAAGACCUAGCACUUUACUGGAACGGUUAAAGACCUAGCACUUUACUGGAACGGUUAAAGACCUAGCACUUCACUGGUACGGUUAAAAGCAAUGUGCAGGUUGACGUUAGCAUUUGCACUCUAGCAUUUCUCUUACCUUGGUUGCAUCAUGUUCGAGUUCUGUGGUCUGUGCGUGCACAUUGCAUUACAAAAAUGAUUCCAGUCGUAAUACAAUUGAAUAUGACUUAACCUUUUUUUUAACCGAUUUGCAAUCGACCCAGGAAUGCCAACCUGCACGUUGCUCUGAAAGACCUAGCUCCUAACCAGUACAGACACCAAUGUUUCUUGUGCAGCACUAACACCCGAUGCCUCACUCCUCUUUCCGAGCUCCCCUGGCGCAGUACAGUGCCGGGCCAAAGGCCAACGUUCCUAACGCACUGUCAAUUACAGGCUGGCCCCCCCCCAGGACCAAGCGUUAAACUGGCCUAUUCUGGUCGUGCUAAUGCUGCUACUGCUGCUGCUGGCACUCUCAUGCAAUCCCCAGUAACCAGGGGGCAACACCCCCCUCUGCUGGGAAGCCGGCACAGUGUGCUUCGCCUCUGAGAGGGACGACCCCUGACCCGGAGACCCAGACCUGCCCUGCUGACGCUCCUGCGUGACCAGAACCCAAACUGUCUAAAUGACGUUAUUGAGGAGAGUCAAACUAGGCCAAAGCCAAGUGACGGAGGUCUCUUGACUUAAUUCCAAUGGGAAUGCAAUGCUGCCUCGUUGGAUGUUUUUGAUGGCAGAAUGCAGGGUAUAUAGAUUACAUUGUAGAUUGGAGGUCCUUGUUCAGUGUAGUUUGACUCAAACGCUGCUUUCGUGUCUGGAGGGGAUUCACUCACCUCCCAUGUUUCGUCAACCCAAAGAUCAAGUUAACACCAACCCGUUUAGCUGCAGCUCCCAUUUCAUUGGUGGUGUUUAGCAAACAAAUGACAAUGCGAGCUUCUGUCAACACUGCCGAGCCUAACCCCUUUAAACACGUCGCCAGCCAUCCAUGAUGGGAGGGGGGGAGAGGGAAAGAAAGGGAGGGAGGGAGGCAGAGAGAGACCCAACCUGCUCUGCUCCUUAAUGCACCUCCAGGCUGACGAUCUGCACUGUCAUCUGUAUCUCGUGUAAUCUGAUCCGAUAACUGCGCAGACAAGACCGAAAUAUGCCCCAGACUGUGUAAAAGUGUGUUUUCAACUCCAGACUUUACCAUAAAGGCAUUAAUCAUUGGAGGCAUAUGGUGGAGGGGUUUGCCGUCAGUCAAGGCUCUGCCCUGAGUGCAAACACGUGUCUUUAGAGAAGCUAUCGGCAAGGUGAUUCAACAUAUAACCAGUGUUCCUCCUCCAUGCAUCCAGCAGUGGUGCAGCGCCACCACUGGAGGACCAGCGCCACUGCAGUCAUUUAUUAGACCAUUUAUUAUUUAUUCAGAAUUAUGUUUGGCGCCCCAAAUGCAUUCUUUUUUUAUUACAUAUAAUACUCCAUUCCCCUCAAGGGUUAAAUUGUCAUUAUUUUCAUUGUAGAAAUAUUGUGGAAAAUUUCCUGACCGCAAAGUGUUCUGCUAUUGAAGAUUAAAAGCCCAUAAUUAUACUGUAGGCGGCAUUAGCCCAUAAAAUGUUAGACUAAAGGUAGGAAGCAUAAAGAGAAAAAAAAAGAGACUUAAUCAUAGAUGGUAGCCUGCAUAUUUGAUGCGGUGGAACAGAAGCAACAGUAUUAUUGAACCUAGACCAGAGGUCUUGAACAGGGAGUUCGAUACCCCUAGGGGGUCCGCGGAGGUACUGCAGGGGGGGGGGGGGGGGGGGUCGCGAAAGUUUUGGUUGAUUAGACUUUUUUUUAUAUUCCCCCAGCAAUUUUUUCCACAAAUUGAAAUGUCAUUUAUCGGGAAAAUAAGCGAUCAGCAGAAAUAGUCCGCCAAAGACGUUGACGUCGCUUAGCAACCGGACACGCUGGGGGUGAUAAGUUACCCGACUACUCUCGGAGUGGUAAGAAAGAAACUAAAAAUGUCCAUUUGAAUUGCUUUUAUGCAUGAUUACAUGCAAUUGACCGACAUUGUUGAUCUUGGCAGGUAUCAGUUUAUUAUGUUAUGUUAUGUUAUGUUUAUGAAUGGCAGUGGCAUGGCCACCCUACUCACUGUACCUUGCACAUGUUUAAAAUGAAAACAUGAAUAUAUGAA